rnacentral:rRNA from 1 species
CGGACGGGUGAGUAACACGUUGAUAACCUACCUAUAAGACUGGGAUAACUUCGGGAAACCGGAGCUAAUACCGGAUAAUAUAUUGAACCGCAUGGUUCAAUAGUGAAAGACGGUUUUGCUGUCACUUAUAGAUGGAUCCGCGCCGCAUUAGCUAGUUGGUAAGGUAACAGCUUACCAAGGCAACGAUGCGUAGCCGACCUGAGAGGGUGAUCGGCCACACUGGAACUGAGACACGGUCCAG